rnacentral:lncRNA from 1 species
AGACAGAGAGAAGAGAGAGGAGAGAGAUAGAGACAGAGAGGAGAGGAGAGAGACAAAGAGAGACAGAGAGACAGAGAGAGACAGAAGACAGAAAGGAGAGUGAGAAAGAGAGUGGACACUCUGGGCCUUAGUUUCUAAGUUUGUAAAGUUAAGCAAAGAGCAGCCAGUCUCUAAGUGCUCUUUAGAUAAAAGACUCCAAUUCUGGGUCCUGGGAGAUUCAAGCCAGAGGAUCUAACAUGGAGGGGAGGGCGGGGGAGGUCAGAAUUUCAGAUUUCAGAGGGAGACUCUCAAGCUCCAUUUCUAUCCAAGAGCCAGCCCCCCAUUGCAGAACUGCCUCUAUUUGAAUACUUCCAGUCAGGGGAAGCUCACUACCUCUCAGGUAGCCUCUGAAAUGUGGACCGGUCCAGUUAUUUGGGAAGUUUUUUUCCUUCUAUCAAGUUAGAGCGCCCUGGGGAGGGGUGAGGGGCUCCGAGGAGCCUGUAGGGGAGACCAAGGGUCAACAAUUGGGUCAGUGCCCCAGGGUGGGGUUGGUGACUCACAGUGAGUCACCCUGAGGGACUGGCCCACCUGUUCCUGAGCCUUGGAGAGCGGCACCGCUUCAAGCCGCCCUCCGGCUCUCCCAGGCCCUCCCCAGGGUCCCCGCCAGGAACAGCCUGACCACCCCCCCGACUACCGACUUUUCUCCCCGGUUUCUCUGCCCCCUUCUCCAUCUCCAGCCCCUUCUGUCCCAAUCCAUUUCCCUUCCUUGUUCCGGCUCAUCUCUCCCCCUCCCCAGUCAGUCGCAGUUCUUUCUGCAGACGUUUGUCCUUCUCGUUUCCUCCUGUCUGAGCCUUCCUCUUCUUCAUUUCUUUGGUUUACGGUCCCUGCCUCCCCUUUACACCCACACGUCGCUCACCUCCAAGUCCCCGUCUUCCGGGCUCUCUUGGUCCCCGUUCUCCAUUUCGGGGUGGCCUUGUGUGUGGCCCCCUCCAGGCGCCUCUCCAAGAGCUCUAGCUUUUACGGGUCCCUGCCUGUCUCUGACUAUCUCUGUCUCUCUCGCCUUCUCUCCUCUGCCUUUUUCAGGCUCUGUGUCUCCCUUCUCUCCAGCUCCUUUUAAUCUUUCUGGUCUCUGUGCGCGUCUCUUGGAUUCUUUUCUGUUUCUCUCUCUCCAUUUUAUAUGUCUCUGCCCCCUUUUGAGUUUUUGUCCUUGCUCUUUAUCAGUCAGUUCUCACCGUGUGAGAGAGACAGUGACAAAGAGGGAGAAAGGAAAGAGAGCAGGAAGGAGGGAGAUGGGAAAAAAGGAAGGAGGGAGACGGGGAAAAAAGGAAGGAGGGAGAUGGGAAAAAAGGAAGGAGACAGACAAGAAAAAAGGAAGGAGACAGACAAGAAAAAAGGAAGGAGGGAGAUGGGAAAAAAGGAAGGUGGGAGAGGGGAAAGGGGAGAGAGACAAAGCAAAGCCAGAGAGAAAAGGAAGAAGGGAGAGGAAAGAGAGAGGAAGCAAAGAGGGAGGAGAGAGGCAAGAGACAGAUGAAAAAGAAAGGAAAGAGGGAGAAAGGAACAAGAUAGAGAAGAGAGGGGGAAGAGAAACAGGAGAGGAAGAGACAGAGAAGAGGGAGAAGGGGGAAGAGAGACAAAAGAAGGAAAAGGGCAAGGAAAAAAAUAGACAAGAGGGAGAAGAGAGGGAAGAGAGAGGAGACAAAAGAAGGAAGAGGAUGAGGAAGAAGAAACAGAAGAGGGAGAAGGGGAAGGGAAGAGAGAGAGGGAGAAGGGAGAGGGAAGAGAGCAGGGGACGAGGGGAAAGGGGGUGGGGGAGAAAACCGGAGAAGCAAGAACCUGGCUCUUGUGGCUGUUCUCCCAGUGGGCGCCCGUCUGCCCCGGGCUCGGGCCGCACAUCCACCUGGCCCUGUCUCGGCCCGCCUGGCACUCUCUGCUGAGGGUCCCUCCAGGUCUCGCUCUGCCUCAGUGUGGCCGCGGGACCCCCUCCGGCCUCCUGGCAGUCCGGCUCUGCCCCCCUCCCUGCGGCUCCAGCCCCGCUGCUGCUCCGGCACCCCGGCCCUCAGCGCUUUGGGUCUCCUCCUUUGUCUAGCCGCCCGCUGCCUGUGCAGGGGGUGUGGAUGGGGCCAAGUUGGUGACAGAGACGUGUGGCCCCCGCCCCCUUCCUUACCCCCCCUGACCCUCGGCCCCCCCUCCCCCUUCCAAACUUAGCUUGGCUCAGGCCCCGGGCUCCUGUCCCAGGACAGGAUCGAGACGGGACAAAACGUAUUGUGACCCCCCGAGGGCCGGGGCAGGGAGGAAACCCGGGCCUCCCUUUAGACCCUGGAUAUCCCCACUCAGGAACCCCGCAAUGUGGGCUCUAGCCACAGCUUCCCCGGAGAGUCAGACGCCCUCCCCGAAAUCCAGGGGCGGCAAGCCAGGAAGGCUUCCUGUAGGAAGGGACUCUGAGCAGCGGGCAGAGCUUGGUCCUGAACCGGCCCCCAGGCCCCCAGGGCGGAGACAGGCAGAUUGAGUUGUGGGAAGCUGUUGACAGACUCGUGGCUAGGGGUGCUGAACACCUGGGUCCUAGGCGUGUCCGCUCGGCCCAGGAGGCCCUGGCCCCCUGCCCUCCCUCUGCCAGGAAGACACCGAGAUCCAGAGCUGGCUUUUCACCUCCUCUUUUAGCCACACAAGCUCCCUGGGGUCACCCCGCUUGGGCUGUGACCUCCAGCCCAAGACACCAAGCCUUCCGGGCCAAGGAGCAGGCUGUCCCGGGGCCCCCAAGGCCCCUUCGCCCUGGUGGCAGCCAGCCCUAGAGUCUGUUUGACCUUGGGCAAAGCAAGGCCCCCGUGGGCAAAACAAGGCCCUGGUGCCCGCCUCACCCUGCCCUGCAGGGUCAUUGGAAGUUACUGUUGCUGCUCCUGACGGCACAAGUAAGAGCUCCCCCAGGGCUUGUUCAGAGCUGGCCAGUAGUUCUGGGGGCUGAGGCUCAGAGCCCCCUAAGUGCCGGGCAGGAGUUUGGGGGCUGCGGCUCAGCCAUUUAAUUCUAUGUCGAUAAAGCCCGAGGGGCUGUCGCCCCGCCUCCAGUGGGAAGCUCUAACCCCCACUGGGUGGGAAACUGGGGCUGGGCAGGGUGUAAGACGUCUGUCCUGCAGCCUGAGGGAAGCAGGUGUGCAGGGAGGUCAGGGCUCAGGAAUCCUCCACUUCUGCCUUCUUCUCCCAGGCCUAAGGGCGGUGUUUGACAACAGGGUCCCGGGUGGGAAAUCGGCGGCAGCCCCUUGGGAGGGGCCCUCCCCUGCCGGCGGCCCCCACCCCCCACCCCCCACCCCAGCCCCCCGCACAGACGGCCCUGGCCUGGUUCCGCUGGGGUCCAGUCGAGUUUAUUCAUAGACAGACGGGGAACAGGGAACAGGCACGUCCACCCCCAGCCCGCAGCCUGGGACCCCUGCCCCCUGGCGCCGCCAUCGCCACUGCAGACUAGAAGCCUGGAAGGACUGGGCGUGGGCAGAGGGGCGAGGAGACGGGGUGGGGGCGGAGGCCCCUGGGAACCAGAAGAGCCACGCCGCCCCUCGACUCCCCUCGGCCGGAACGUGGACCCUCGGCCGCCUGUGGUGACGAGAGGGUGGGGCUCCGGGUCGGUGUGGGGAGGGGGCUAUCCUGCAAGGGCGGGGGGGAGUUAGGGUCCCGAACUCUUGGCCAUCUCCCAGGGAGAUGCCCCUCACCUCAAUCUUGCUCUUUCUUCCAGAGAGGGGACAGAGGGGACGGGGCGGCCAUAAAACACAUGGGGGGUUCUGCUGUCAGGAGGGCACCCUUUCUGUCCCCCCCGGCCCCCCCUCUUCCUCCUCCUCCAGCUCAAAGGCUGAGUGGUCCUGACUGUCGAAGCAGGAGGCGCUGAGGUACGCCGGGGCGGGCGGGGGGCUCCGAGAGGGAGAGGGGGGAGAGGGGGGGUCGUCCACUGUCUCCGCCGGGGCCGGGGCCGCCUCCUCGGCGGGGGCCGCGGCCCUGCUCAGGGCCCCCUCCACCUCGGCCCGGUGACACCGCUGGUGCCGCAGGAGGCUGUAGGCCCUGGAGAAGCGGCGGGGGCAGCGGGGGCAGGGGUGCGGGGCGGGGCCCCCCGCGUGCACCUGGGCGUGACGGGCCAGGUCCGCCAGUCGCUUGAACUCCCGCUGGCAGCGCACACACUGGAAGGGCCUGGCUCCCGAGUGGGUGACGCCGUGCUGGCGGAGGUGGGCCCGUCGGCGGAAGCCCUUGCCGCACUCCGGGCACCGGAAACGGGGCUCCACGGGCGGCGGAGGAGGCGGGGGGGGGUCCUCCCCGGGCCCCGCUUCUCCCUGGAGCCCCCCGCCCUCUUCUCCGUUCUGCCCCUGGGAUUCCGCCCCUUUGGCAAAGUUCCAUCCCUUGGAAGCGCCGGCCACGCCUCUCUCCUCCUUGUCGGCCCGGGAGGGCGCGGGCGCCAGCAGGCUCAGGGCACCGUGCACCCGCCGGUGCUGCCGGAGGUAGGAGGCCAGGCGG